CUAUUGGGGAUUUUUGGCUGUCUUCGUCCUUUCGGCACCUCCAGUCUCAUUCCUCAGUAUGAAGGCUCUGAGCCCGGUGCGCGGCUGCUACGAGGCGGUGUGCUGCCUGUCUGAACGCAGCCUGGCCAUCGCGCGCGGUCGCGGCAAAGGUCCGGCAGCCGAGGAGCCGCUGAGCCUGUUGGACGACAUGAACCACUGCUAUUCGCGCUUGCGGGAACUGGUCCCCGGAGUCCCGCGAGGCACUCAGCUUAGCCAGGUGGAAAUCCUGCAGCGCGUCAUCGACUAUAUCCUCGACCUGCAGGUGGUUCUGGCCGAGCCCGCCCCUGGACCCCCAGACGGCCCGCAUCUUCCCAUCCAGGUGUGUGGGAGCGUGCGCGGGAGCUGGGGCGGGGCUGAGUUCCAGAGCCAGGAUGCUGCCUGGACCCCUAAAACUCCCAAAUGCCGUGCAUAACUUUUCCCUCUUUCCUUUCUCUCAGACAGCUGAGCUCGCUCCGGAACUUGUGAUUUCCAAUGACAAGAGGAGCUUCUGCCACUGACCUGGCAGUCCUGGCACCUCCAGAACGCAGGUGCUGGCGCCCGUUCCGCCUGGGACCCCGGGACCCUCUACGGCCGGAAGCCCGAGGGCAUGGAUGGGCCCCAACCUCGCCCUGCCCACUUGACUUCCCCGAACCCCUGCCUCGAACCUGGACCUGGCGCCCGGGAGCGAAGGACUGUGAACUUGGGUGGCCUAAAGAGCCAGAGCUAGCUCUGGGCACCAGCUGGGCAAUGUCUCCCGGCCCCCACCCCACCCCUAAGUUUUAAAGUCUUUCUUUCACAGUGUGGAGGUUGGUGGGGGGGGUGGCUGCUCUCCAAAGUCUGCCAAGGCCGCAGUAGAGCUGGUCUUCUGGUCUCCUUGGAGAAAGGCUCUGUUGCCCUGAUUAUGAACUCUAUAAUAGAGUAUAUAGCUUUUGUACCUUUUUUGCAGGAAGGUGACUUUCUGUGACCAUGCAAUGUAUAUUAAACUUUUUAUAAAAGUUAACAUUUUGCAUAAUAAACGGUUUUUAAACACUUGA